AACAUAUACUUCAUGGAAAAUUGUGAAGUACCUGAAUGAUUAAGUAAAUGAAAUGCAGAAAGCAAGAAUUAUAGAGGAUUAGGUGUCUGUUUUUUAAAAUAUCGACUCUGCUUUGUUUUCCUCAGAAUGGGUGCACUUGAGCAGAUUGAAACAUUCCUCCUUGCAUCUUUGUUCUAUGAUUGCAUCUAUUUGUUAGUAGCAUAGAGACCAAUAAUGGACAUCCUUGUUCUGUCUUGAGAAUUCCUCUAGGGUCACAUGCUCUGUUUGCACCGUGCUUAGGAAGGAGCAUGCAGACCAAUAAUAGAUGGCUUGUGCUGAUGGAAGGAUUCCUCCCUGGUGACAUGCUGUGUCUGCCUCUUGAUUGGGAGCACGCAGACAUACAAUGAUGUACUUUUUAUGAUUUGAGAAUUCCUCCAUGGUCACGUGCUCUGUUUUUAUCAUGGUUGGGAGCUUACAGACCAAUAAGGGACAUGCCUUUGCUGAUUUGAGGAUUCCUCUGAGGUCGGGAGCUAAGUUUGCACCAUGCUUAGAAAGGAGUGUGCAGACCUGUAAUGAUUGCACUUUGCUGAUUGAAGGAUUCCUUCAAGUCCAUGUGCUCCACUUGCACCAUUUUUAGGAUGGAGCCCGGAGACCUAUGUAUGUAAUAGUGGAAGUCCUCACCUAGCUUUGGGUGGUUUGUUCAAGAGGGUUCAAUGUAUUAUAAAAAGGUGUAUAUUAUAAUCAAAGAUGAGCAAUUGUAUUUAAAUGAACAUGGGCAUGAUGUGAGGAUUAUAUUGAAGAUGUAUACAUGAGAAA